UUGGAGAUUAGAUCUGAUUUUUUUCUGGUAUUUGGCACAAUCUAAUAGGAUUCCUUGCCUGAUUUGAUGUAUUUGGUUGUAAAAUGAUGGAAGACGUGUUUCAGAAAAGAUUUGGCUGCAUCACAAGUUAGAAUACAGUGGUUGUAGGUGAUCAGCUCUCAAAAGUAAAUAAGGUGGUUUGAUGUGUUUACCUUUCCUAGUUGUGGUAUGACUGUAGCUUAUGUGCUUUAUUAUAAAUGAAUAUAUAUGUUGUGUAGGUUAUAUAUAUGAUGCCCUGUUAUGCCUGAUUACUUCCUACACCUUACAAUGGUUGGUUUGGCUAUUCAUGAGUUUGCGGAUGGUGGUUAUGGUUAAACACAGGAAUUAUGAGAUCCCGAUUGUCUUAAGGGUAAGCUGAUGAAUGGUUAGGAAAUAACAGGGAAAAGGCUUUCCAAGAAUUUGGGGCAAGGGAUUGAAGAAUUCAAAAUUGAGGCCACAUGAUGAGUGGACAAGCCUGAUUUUUAUGUUGAGCAUUCUUCGUGGUGGGGGCCAAACCUUUUAGACGAGUGAGAUGCUGUACACACUUGACACUUUGGAAUUUAUGCUCUAGGUGGACGGGUUUGCCACAUCUUGAUGUUAGAAUAAGGCGGCCGAAUGAUCUUUACUUAAAUGGCCUUAAAGUUAGCGGCAUCCUGUGCACCUCAAUAUAUAAAUCAAAUAAGUUCAAUGUGAGUGCUAGAACAAGAGCAUGUUUCUUCUGUUGAUAAUCUAUUUUUCUUCUUAGUCAGCAUGGUUGCACAUGCCUAAGUUGGAUUGAUGUGUGGAGAUGUUUUCCUUUUGAUGGCCCAUUGCCUUUAACAUCAAGAUGUGGCCCAUUGUCUUUAAGAUUCUUGUUCAAUGACCUUUAAUAGGAACCGUCAUGAUCUUUUACAGAAAAAUAGAUCAAAUCAACAAUUUGAUCCAUCUACUUGUUAGUACCCAUCAUGAACAGAGUUCCCUUUGUGUUUUAGCUAAAUGGUGGAAUAGUCGUGGUUGUUUGGUAGUUUAGAGUUUUUGUUGCCAAGCUCUUAGUUUAUUUAUUUAUUUAAUCUUUAAAUUUGAUUUCAUUUGUUGUUUGGGUGCAGUUAGUGUCUGCUGAUGUGCAGUUAGUGUCUUCAGAUUUCCUUCUACUCAACAGAUGAAGAGUGGGCUAGAUGAUGCCUGUUCAGAUUGAUUACACAGAUCAUACACGUCCAAAUGAAACUCACAGGACAAUACAUGCACAAUAUCUAAGGAUCAUUUUUUUAGACUAAUGGCUUGUUUGGACAGGUGGGCCCAAGUUUAUAAUCAGAUAGGCCUGUAAAUUCCUUGAUGAGAACUGGUCACCAAAGUUUACAGUUAUCGUGGCUCAAAAAAACCACCACACUAAAUUCUUCCAGCUUCAAUCUCCUGACAAUGUUCCACAUGGCACUGUUGUGGACAAAGCAAUUUGCCAUCCACAAAACCACCAC